CCCCGCAGCUCCCCUCUCAUCCCGCAGCCUCUCUGGUAUCCCACCGCAUCCCCCGGCUCCUACAGAACCCCGGGGUCCCACUCAUCUGGCAGCAGCUUUGGGAUGGCACAGCUUUCCUGGGGUUCUGCUCAUCACACAGCAUCCGUGUAGCCCACAGCAUCCUGGGGAUCCUACGGCAUGGCACGGUACUCCUGGGUUGCCGGAGCAUCCCUGGGAUCCAGAGCAUCUUGCGGUGGUUCUUACCUCUGAGUGUCUUCACACAGAUGUGACUGUGCAGUAGUGAGGGCUCCGGUCACACUGAGGUUGCCAAAGUAUUUCCCAAAUACAGCUGCCUUACACCUCCCACCCUCAAUGCAAUGCUACAGGAGAUAACCAGUACAGACAAUAUUAACCAUCUCCAAAUCACUGCUCAAGGCUCAACCCUCUGAAGUCACUUACUCAUUUACUAGGACUCCACAGUUCAAUUUUCCAGAGAGGCUUAACUGUAAGCACAUGGGUUGUUCUCUGGCUUCCAAGAUGAGUAUGAAGGUAAAAAAUACCUUGUACAUAACAGAACAGGAAAAGUUAGAGGAGUAAGACACAGAGGCAAAGCAACUUACCCAUGUCAUGCUCCCAGUCCAGACCAGGAGGGAAAGGAAGAUGCAGAUCCUUGCUGCAAAGUUCUGCAUAUUUCACUUUCCUCAUGAAGGAAUAAAGCACACAUAAAUACAGCCUUGGAAUGUGCCCCAUAAAAUGCUUUUCAAAUGACUUUGCUCUCAUUUCCUUUGCAUUCGUGGUUACUUUGCAUGUUACACAGAUUGAUUUACAGGUCAAAUGAAAUGAUAACUCUGAGCCUGCAUUGCCAAGGCAGGAUGGAAUUACAGGAAGAAACAAAGCAACUUCUCACAGCAGCAGUGAACAUUCCUGUAUCAGCCCUUGGGUCUUGUUAAAGAAGAGGACAGUUUAUGCAAUAUUUGAAGGGAAGGAAUACAAAUGCAUCAUAAAUAAAAACACUGCAUUACAUUGUACUGAACAAAGGCACAUUUCUAUACAGUUAGCAGGGAUCACAGCUUGGCUUGCUACACAUGGGAAUCACAGAGACAACAAAAGUGUUGAAUAAACUAUACAAAUGCAUGUUUGAAAGAAAUUAUAACACCAAUUCCUACAGGUUUGUUAUUUGCUAAUUCUUACUCUAUUUAGAAAAGCCUUGGUACCACAUUGAGAGUGGCCACGGUGACAGAGGCAGCCCAUGUCACUGAAAGGAGAUAAACUUGUGGCUUACAAGAUCUGCCUAAGAUACUUAUCAAAUUCUGGGUAGAAUUUAAGAUUCUAACUGAAGAACUCUCAUGUGAUAUGAUUCAGAGAUUGUCAGACUCCUUUUAAAUUCCUUCUGCCAGAACAUUCACUACCUCAAAACUAAAUUAUCAUCAUUGUAACAGAGACAGAGAAGAAAAAGGGUAUUUUCUGAUGCUGGCAAAUUUCUGGAAUUGCAUUUUCCCUUCUUCCUCUCUCUUCCUUUUACUUGUUUAUUUAAACUAAUCAGCAAGCAAAUAUCUCACAAGCAUCUUUUGAGAUGGUUUCACAAAGGACCAAAGUUCAAUGGAAUGAAAUAUACAUCUGAUUUAGAUUAAGCAUUAAAGUGAUUCCAUGAACAUUCCAGUGACUUAGUUGUAUUAACAUAUUUGGGUGCCUAAAGUCUUGGAAGUUUGCAGUUACAAAUCUAGAUACAUGCUGACAGUGUACUGACAACAUCCUUGUAAGGCACAGAGAAAUUCUUACUGAACAGAAUUCUAAAGGACACAACACACACUGCCAUUACCUUCCUUUGAAGCAGCAUGAACUGCUGGGGAUGACUCAAAUUCAGGCACAUUUGGAUGGAGGAAUUUGUCACUCUGCCAAGCUGUCCCACCCUUGUCCUGGAAGCUGUCCCCUGAAGCAGUGAUGGCUGAACCACGCAUGAAGGAGUUCCUGGACUGCCAGUCCUUGCUAAGGGUCAUGAACAUCUGCACCAGUUAACCCAGCUCAGCAGCUGGAAACUGGAAAUUAUGGCAGCACAUGAGCUGCUCCACACAGAAGUUCCCAAGUCCUGCUGUGAAAGCAGCACUCUCCUGAAGGGGGCUGCACACACAUGGAGGUAACAACUGGUUCAGCCAUUUGUCCUUAAUUCAUUGCUCACAAAUCAGCAUAUUCAGUGAGUCACAGCAAUGACAUGGCUUACAAACAAGCUGACAGAAAAAUAUGCAUUUGGUCAAUUAUAAAACUCCUCUUUUAUUAUGUCUUGAAUACAGUGGGUUGCAUUCCAGCAAGCACCGACCAGGAAAGCAAAUGACACUGAAGUCACUGAGGAUUCCUCAGGUCAGCCCCACUGAGGCAUCUCCUGGAUGAGCCUUCCUGGCUGAGCAGCCCCCAGCCCGAGGGGAGCAGGCAGGAUGGGAGUUUCCAGGUAGGUAGCAAGGAGAUGGAAUCUGUGUUUUGAAGGCAGGAGCUGCUCUGAGGAGGUAGCAGGGCUGGACCAGCCUGCGAGACCACAAGGCUUUGGCUGCACAGGCUGAACACACUUACAAAAGGAGAGAACUUUUGAGAGAAAUCAUCUCAGCAGUUACACACAUCCACAUAAAAAAUCACAGAAAGUGAAGCACAGCACAAAGCACAGUUUAACUGCAGCAUUCCAGUAAAGGCUGGCACUAACACGAAGGCAGGUGUCACCUGGUUCAGAGCAUACAACACUAAAUAGAUACAUUUAUGAUAGAAAUAAUUUAAAAUUCUUUAUAAUAGAGAAAAAAGAGGUAAAGGGGCAGAAAAGACACAAUCUCCCAUAUCACAGCAAACCCAGUGGCACACAAGAGAAGGAAACAGCUCCUGAAUAAAUGCAGAUCAAGUAUCUUAAUUUUGAAGUAUGAAUCAAUUUUUAUUAUAUUACAUAUAUUAAACACAGGAGAUGAUUUUCUAACCCUCUAAAAGACAACAGUGAACAUCUACAAAAUACCAGUGAGCUGUCAUUCCAGAAAUCAGUAAAAAACAAGUAUAUUUCACAAAUCAGCUGAUAUGGCAAAUAUAUUUUUAAUCUUUCCAAACAGGAAAUAUAUAAGAACAGAAUUGCUCAGAAGAGAGGCAGUGUCUGGUUAUAAAAACACAACCAGGCUACAUCAGCAACAGGGUAUUACUUUCUUGCAUGUCUCAUCACUCCUGUACCAUCAGCUCUAAAUCUUUCUUUAUUGCCAACACAAAAAGUGAAGAGUCAAAAUAA